GACGAACGCUGGCGGCGUGCUUAACACAUGCAAGUCGAACGAAGUAGAGAACGGGUGAGUAACGGGUAAUCAAGUUGCCCAUCUGCGGGGGACAACAGUUGGAAACGACUGCUAAUACCGCAUUCUGAAGGAGGGCACUGCGUGUGAUUCGCUAGUUGGAGGGUUAAAGGCCCACCAAGGCGAUGAUCAGUAGCCGGUCGUAGAGGAGGAACGGCCAAAUUGGGAACGGAAAACCGCCCAGACUUCUACGGGAGGGAGCAGGGGGGAAUUUUCCGCAAUUGACGAAAAGCUGACGGGUCAACGCCGCGUGAGUGAUGACGGCCUUCGGGUUGUAAAGCUCUGUUUAUCGGGACGCGGUACCGAAAUAGAAAGCCACGGCUAACUACGUGCCAGCCGCCGCGGUAAUAC
rnacentral:rRNA from 1 species